rnacentral:rRNA from 1 species
UACGUAGGGGGCAAGCGUUGUCCGGAUUUAUUGGGCGUAAAGAGCUCGUAGGCGGCUCGGUAAGUCGGGUGUGAAAACUCUAGGCUCAACCUAGAGACGCCACCUGAUACUGCUGUGGCUAGAGUCCGGUAGGGGAGCAUGGAAUUCCUGGUGUAGCGGUGAAAUGCGCAGAUAUCAGGAGGAACACCAGUGGCGAAGGCGGUGCUCUGGGCCGGUACUGACGCUGAGGAGCGAAAGCGUGGGGAGCAAACAGG